rnacentral:rRNA from 1 species
GAUGAACGCUGGCGGCGUGCCUAAUACAUGCAAGUCGAGCGAAGCGGGGGGAGGGGAGUAACACGUAGAUAACCUCCUAUACGACUGGGAUAAAUUCGGGAAACCGGUGCUAAACCGGCUACUGAGAGAUGGUUGAGCGCUGCAUUAGCUAGUUGGUAAGGUAACGGCUUACCAAGGCAACGAUGCAUAGCCGACCGGAGAGGGUGAUCGGCCACACUGGAACUGAGACACGGUCCAGACUCCUACGGGAGGCAGCAGUAGGGAAUCUUCCGCAAUGGGCGAAAGCCUGACGGAGCAACGCCGCGUGAGUGAUGAAGGUCUUCGGAUCGUAAAACUCUGUUAUUAGGGAAGCGGUACCUAACCAGAAAGCCACGGCUAACUACGUGCCAGCAGCCGCGGUAAUAC